rnacentral:rRNA from 1 species
GAUGAACGCUAGCGGCAGGCCUAAUACAUGCAAGUCGAACGGAGGCUUCGGAUAUAGUGGCGCACGGGGGGGCAACACGGAUGGAACCUACCUUACAUUGGGGGAUAGACGGUAGAAAGGGAGAUUAAGACUGCAUAAGACAGUAGAUGGGCAUCCAGCAGCAGUUAAAGAAUUAUAGAUGUAAGCUGGGCAUGCGUGCAAUUAGUGAGUUGGUGUGGUAACGGCUCACCAAGGAAAUGAUUGGUAGGAGAACUGAGAGGUCGAACCCCCACACUGGCACUGAGAUACGGGCCAGACUCCUACGGGAGGCAGCAGUAGGUAAUAUAGGGCAAUGGACGCAAGUCUGACCCAGCCAGGCCGCGUGCAGGAUGAAGGCGUUAUGCGUUGUAAACUGCUUUUAUACAGGAAGAAACGACUCUUGCGAGAGGCAUUGACGGUACUGUAUGAAUAAGCACCGGCUAACUCCGUGCCAGCAGCCGCCGUAACAC